AGUUUUAUCUUUGGCAAGUUGAAACCCAAUUUUUCCAGCACCAUUUAUCAAAGAGGCUAUCUUUCCACCAGUGAGGGUGUUUGGCUCCUUUAUCGAAGAUGAGAUGGCUGAGUGUGUCUGGCGUUGUUUCUGCAUCUUCUAAUCUGUUCCACUAGUCCUCAGGUCUGUUUCUUUGCCAGUACCAUGCUGUUUUUUUUUAAUCACAGUAGCUUUGUAGUAUAGUUUCAAGUUGGGAGUUGUGAUACCCCUGUGGCAGUAGUUGUUGAUGCCUGUCCAUUCUGUCAAGUCCUGAGUUGUGCUUGAUAGUCCCUGUGCAGGCUGACAGCUUCCACUUUUUACCUCAAGGGACAGUUAACUUUCACUUAGAGACAACUCAGUUUAAAGCACACACACGCAUCACUUAAAAAAUAAAAAUGUUGUCUUCUCAGAUCUCAGAUUCUAAGAAGUCUGGAAGUCAGAAAUUGACAAAAAGUACUUUGAUUUCAAGGAGUGAACUGGCGCUGAGCAUAUUGAAGGAUCUCUGGCUCAUUAAGAAGAGUAAUUUGUACUUGCAUUUCAGAUGAAGAGACUUCUGUUAUCAUGUAGUUGUAACACGAUGGGAUGGUGAUAUGUAACUACAGUUGUCUUCCCAACUGUGUCAACCCACAAUAUUAGCUUUUGGGCUUCUUGAGAUUUCUUUUUUGCAUGGCAAAUUACCCAUGAAAUACAUUGACCAAACAGGAUGUGAUGAAGGAAGAAAGGAACUCUUUGUGUGCAUUUUGGAUCUAAAAUGUGGCAGGGGUGAUGCAAUGAAGCUAUUUGGGAAAUGGCAAAUCAAGAGAAGACAGAAGAAUUUGUGGGAUUGGAAGGCCCUUUAUGAUUUGUCACAACCUGGGCAGGAAGCUCCUGGUUUCUGGAGCAAUAAAGAAAACAGUGCAGGCACACAGCUCUCACCAGAAAUGUGGAAACAUUCCAGGUUCUUAGUAGAGAUACAUCUCACACACAGAUUCAUACAAUCUAAAGUAAUAAAUAUUUUAAUGUUUAAUAAGAUAAACCUGAAAUGUGUACAACCAAUUCCUCAUGUGGGCUUGACAUUGCAACACAGAUUGAAGAGAAUACUCUGUGACUCCUUUAGCUCAUAGGAUAGAAAAAAUAUGGUUGGGGUUUCAGGUCCCAACUGGACUAUUUGGGGAAUAGAGAGAAACUAAUCUCUCUGAGAGAAGAAAGAUGAUAAAAAUCUUCAUCACAAAGUUAUUGUGAGGAUGACACGAGAUAAUGUAGGUCAAACUACAAAAUAUUUAGAGAUGAGUGAUUAGAAAUAGUUUGUUUGAACAUCUGAGAUGUUUCAAUGACUUUCCAGCCUCUAUAAUAUAAGCCUCAGUCACCAGAAGCCCUGAUUCUCCAAGCUUCGAGGCCCAGGUGCUAGUGCUGCCUGCAGGACCUGGAAGAGUCACCUUUUAUGAGACAGGACUGAGGGAAGCACUGGACCCAUCCACCUGCCCACAGCCUGCAGGCUUUUCAAAUUGUGGAGGCUGUGGGAGUAGAGCAAGCUUGGCCCUCACAGGGAGCAUCUUUUUUAACUGUGUGCUUACUGGAUGCUAAAGCCAGGCUGGAGGACAGUUUACUUAGGUUUUCAACCCAGCAUGGUGAGGAGUUUGGCGUUGCUCCUUCUGACACAUUCCUCCCUCAUCCUUUUCUGAGCCAGGGAUUCUGAUUACUGCAGAUGUAUCAUGCAGGUCCUGCUCUCCACAGCUUUCACUGGGGCUUGGCCAAUGGACACAGCAGGAAAAGAGGACAAGAGAGAGCACCUAGGGUCUUGAUUCCACUAACUCCUUCCCUGCCCUCCAACAGUUUUAGCAGUAACCGUAUUCCUUGUCUUAGUCUGUUUUGUGCUACUCUGUCUUAAUGUCAGAACAGAUAAUUCACAAUGAACAAAAAUUUAUCACUCAUGGUUCUGGGAGGUGGGAAGUCUAAGGUCCAGGGGCUGGCAUCCCACAGCAGAAUAUAGAAGGACAAGACAGCAAGCAUUGAGGAACAAGGGAGGAGAAAGGCAGCCAAGUUUGCUUUUAUAACGAACCUACUCCCACAAUAAUGACACUAAUCAUGACCUGAUCACCUCAAGACAGAGAGAGAUAGAUAGCCAGGGAGAGGAAAGGGAGUGGAACUUACUUUUGAAUAACAAAACUACUCCCACAAUAAUGAUAUUGUCUUAGUCACUUUCUCAUUGCUGGGACAAAAUACCCAGCACCCACAUCUUAAAAGGAGGAUAGGGUUAUUUUGGCUCAUGGUUUUUAGACAAUUCAGUCCAUAGUCAACUGGCUGCAAUGCAUGGAGGUCAUGUUAGAAGGUUCUGGUGGAUGCAAGCUGCUCGCAUCACUGCAGCCAGAGAGCAGAGAGAGAAGGGAGGAGUCAGGGAGGGAGAUGGAUCCUUCCAGAUUGCAGUCCCAGUACCUACCCCCAAACAGACCCUGCCUGUACUUUUGAGUGAAGGACCCUUGUUAGCAAGACAGACUCCAUAUUGCUGCUUGACCCACCUGCCUACCCUUUAGAUGAACUCAGAAGGAGGAAGCUUAAAAACCUCCUCCCCUUAGAAAGUCUCUUUAGAAAUAACAAUCAACUAUUGUUUUACAAAUGUUCUAACAGCAGGACGUUCUGCUUCUGUACCUUUUGCUUGUUUUACUAGUUCUAUCCCAUAGAGGGCCGUAGAACCUGCUCUCCUCAAAGGUGUAUAAAACAUGUUUGUCAACCCCCAGUUGAGGCUUGAGUCCGAUGCUCGGCUCAGGUCCUGGCUGGUAAUAAACUCCUAUGUGGAUUUAAUAUUGGUCUCUGGUUGGUUCUCUCUCACUGGGUGCAACAUUGAGUGAGCAUACAAAUCUUUCACUUCAGGAAAUUUAUUCCUAAGUAUUGUAUUUUUUGGAUAUUGUUAUAGAUGAAGUUAGCUUUUUUAUUUUCUUUUCAGAUUGUUCGUUAUUAGUGUAUAGAAGCUCAAUUUAUUUUGUGUAUUGAUUUUGUAUCCUGCAAAUUUGCUGAUUUCAUUGAUUUGUUGGGACAGUUAUUUUGUGGGAUAUUUAGGGUUUUCUACAUAUAAAAUUAUAUCUUCAUUUUCCAAUUUGCUUGCAUUUUGUUUCUUUUUCUAAUUGCUCUUCUUUUAGCUUAAUUUCCCUGGAUAAAACUUCUAGCAGCAUGUUAAUAGCAGUGGUGAAAGUGGCCAUUCUUUUCUUAUUACUGACCUUAGGGGGAGGUUUUCAUUCUUUCCCAAUUGAUAAUAAUGUUCUCUGUGGGUUUUUCAUGUAUGGCUUUUGUUAUAUUGAGGGGGAUACACUUCUUUCUGAAUGGUCUGCAUGGAUGACCUUAUUAACUGUACAGAACCCUGUGAAACUGGCAUUAAAAUCCCUCUUUUGUCAGAUGAGAAAACUAAGACAUGAAGAACUAUGUUCUUCCCAUACAUUAAAUUUCUGUAGUUUUUGUUUUUACAUGUAGCAUGUCUUUAUUAAAACAAUGAUUCUUUUUUUUUUUGGUACUGGGGAACGAACUCGGGACCUUGUGCUUUCGAGGCAUGCGCUGGAACCACUGAGCUAAAUCCCCAGCCCAAAACAAUGAUUUAUUAAGUUAUAUGCUCACUUCCCUGUACUCCACAGAAGGUUGCCUGUACUGCCCCAAAACACAACCUGAAUGGAAAUCUUUGUCUCAGGGUCUGGACCCAGGGGAACCAAACUAAGACCAAGCUGGGUGUAAUACCAGCACCCUGGGAGCUAGAGACAGAAUGGCAAGUUCAAGCUUAGCCUGAGUAACAGGCACUUGGCAAGACACCUCCAUUUUAAAAGCAAAAAAAUUAAAGGUCUAGAAAUGUAGCUCAGUGAAUAUUUUCUGGGUUUGAUCUUAAUAACAACAGCAGCCCAAGAUGUUUGGUGAAUGCUCAGCAUAGGCUAGGCACCAGGCCAGCAAUUUCACAGGUACA
ensembl:lncRNA